rnacentral:rRNA from 1 species
UACGGAGGAUCCAAGCGUUAUCCGGAUUUAUUGGGUUUAAAGGGUGCGUAGGUGGCCUGUUAAGUCAGGGGUGAAAGACGGUAGCUCAACUAUCGCAGUGCCCUUGAUACUGAUGGGCUUGAAUGAACUAGAGGUAGGCGGAAUGUGACAAGUAGCGGUGAAAUGCAUAAAUAUGUCACAGAACACCAAUUGCGAAGGCAGCUUACUAUGGUUUGAUUGACACUGAGGCACGAAAGCGUGGGGAUCAAACAGG